UUUAAUUGAAGAGUUUGAUCAUGGCUCAGAUUGAACGCUGGCGGCAGGCCUAACACAUGCAAGUCGAGCGGCAGCACAGAGGAACUUGUUCCUUGGGUGGCGAGCGGCGGACGGGUGAGUAAUGCCUGGGAAAUUGCCCGGUAGAGGGGGAUAACCAUUGGAAACGAUGGCUAAUACCGCAUAACCUCGCAAGAGCAAAGCAGGGGACCUUCGGGCCUUGCGCUACCGGAUAUGCCCAGGUGGGAUUAGCUAGUUGGUGAGGUAAGGGCUCACCAAGGCGACGAUCCCUAGCUGGUCUGAGAGGAUGAUCAGCCACACUGGAACUGAGACACGGUCCAGACUCCUACGGGAGGCAGCAGUGGGGAAUAUUGCACAAUGGGCGCAAGCCUGAUGCAGCCAUGCCGCGUGUAUGAAGAAGGCCUUCGGGUUGUAAAGUACUUUCAGUAGGGAGGAAGGUGGUUAAG
rnacentral:rRNA from 1 species